GGGCGCUUGGUCUAGGGGUAUGAUUUUCGCUUUGCAUACUUUAGAAUGCACUAUGUGAAAGGCCGGGGGUUCAAAUCCCUCAGUGUCCA